rnacentral:lncRNA from 1 species
GUGACUGCGGGCAUUUGUGGCUGUCGAGUCCUUGACCAUAAUGUUAUAUGUAAUGGGAACUAUCUUAUAAACUUGAAAAAAUAAAGUUUUUAUUUUCUAUAUGGUUUGCUCCUGUGUCUUUUCUGAGUAGGAUCAACCCAGUUGCCUAGCUGAGUAUGCUCCUGAGUCAGGCUUCAAAAAAAAUAUGCAGAGCUCAUUAGAAAGAUGGCACCCUUUCAAUAACUUCAUCAUUAAUUUCACCAAAAAAAAAAACAAAAAACACUAGCCGUUCAGUACAGAUAAAUGAGCUGUGCUGAGCUUCAAAUGCAAAAGCAAUAAAGCCGACAAAUUGAUAAUCAAA